CGAGCAGACCGAGCCGUCGCGCCACGCGCGAGGAAAGUCCGCACUCCACAGGGCACAGGUAGCGGGUAACACCCGUCCGCCGUGAGGCGAGGACCAGUGGCACAGAGACCAAUGCCGGGUAGAGCCGGAGUGAAAAGGCCAAACUCUUCCUGGAGCAAGCCCAAGCAGGGAACCUGAGCGGCCCGCUCCGCUCACUCGUGAGCAAGUUCCCGGGUAGGGCGCAAAGAGGACCGGAGCAAUCCGGCUCCCAAGAUAGAUGACGGCUCUCGACAGAAUGCGGCUUACAGGUCUGCUCGGCCC
rnacentral:RNase_P_RNA from 1 species